rnacentral:rRNA from 1 species
AACGCUAGCGACAGGCCUAACACAUGCAAGUCGAGGGGCAGCGGGGGAGCGUGCUUGCACGCUCCUGCCGGCGACCGGCGCACGGGUGAGUAACGCGUAUGCAACCUGCCCGUUCCAGCGGGAUAACCCGGGGAAAUCCGGACUAAUACCGCAUGCGACCUUCAGGAGGCAUCUCCUUUAGGUCAAAGGGGCGACCCGGGAACGGAUGGGCAUGCGUGACAUUAGCUAGUUGGCGGGGUAACGGCCCACCAAGGCGACGAUGUCUAGGGGUUCUGAGAGGAAGGUCCCCCACACUGGUACUGAGACACGGACCAGACUCCUACGGGAGGCAGCAGUGAGGAAUAUUGGUCAAUGGGCGAGUGCCUGAACCAGCCAAGUCGCGUGAGGGAUGACGGCCCUACGGGUUGUAAACCUCCUUUGCCGGGGAGCAAUGCUCCGCACGAGUGCGGAGCGGGAGAGUACCCGGAGAAAAAGCAUCGGCUAACUCCGUGCCAGCAGCCGCGGUAAUACGGAGGAUGCGAGCGUUAUCCGGAUUUAUUGGGUUUAAAGGGUGCGUAGGCGGAACGCCAAGUCAGCGGUAAAAAUUCGGGGCUCAACCCCGUCGUGCCGUUGAAACUGGUGUCCUUGAGUGGGCGAGAAGUAUGCGGAAUGCGUGGUGUAGCGGUGAAAUGCAUAGAUAUCACGCAGAACUCCGAUUGCGAAGGCAGCAUACCGGCGCCCAACUGACGCUGAAGCACGAAAGCGUGGGUAUCGAACAGGAUUAGAUACCCUGGUAGUCCACGCAGUAAACGAUGAAAUGCUAAUUGUCCGGAGGGAUUGACCUCUGGGUGAUACAGCGAAAGCGUUAAG